rnacentral:tRNA from 1 species
GGGGCUGUGGCUUGACGACAGCUUCUGCUCGGCAUGCAGAAGGUCCCAGGUUCAAUCCCUGGCAUCUCCG